UCCCUGGUGGUCCAGUGGCUAAGACUCUGCACUUCCAAUGCCGGCUGUCUGGGUUCAAUGUCUAGUCAGGGAA
rnacentral:tRNA from 1 species